UGAUUUUCUUUUUAUACAAUAAUUUAUAACACGUCUGUAGACAGUAAGUAGGUGGUGGUGAUGGUAGAGAGAGCAGAGGAUUAAACAGAUUUUAUUAUAUGUUUGUGUUUCUCCCUUCUCUGAGUCUCAGGGGCAGCUUUUGAGUAUGAUGGCUAACCUCGCGAUUUUCUCUUUCUUUCUUGCCCUAAUUUUCUCCGCCGUUCGAGCGGAUAUUUCCCUCGAAUCCGAUGAUCAACUCAUUUCAUCACACGCCGUUCAUUCUUCCGCUUUCAAGAUCCAACUCGACCAGCUUAACUCUAAGAUCCAUGCCCUCGAAUCCCAGAUUGACGAGAGAACACGAGAAUUGAAGAACAAGGAUGCGAUAAUAUCCCAGAACGAUAAAAUUAUUAAAGAUAAUUCAGAUAGUAUUUUGUCCUUGCAGACCGAAAUAUCUUCUCUUCAGAAAAAGGAGAAAAUAGAUGCAGCGGAGCAGGUUGGAAAGGCUCAUGCACGGGCAGGCGAACUAGAAAAGCAGGUUGAAAAUAUUAAAAAGGAAGUAGAAACACAAAACAGGGAGAAAGAGGCCCUGGAAGCACGAGCAAAUGAAGCUGAAAAGAAGAUUGCUGAACUACACUUGAAGUUAGAAAAUCUUCAAAAUAUUAAUGAUGAACAGAAGAGCAAACUUCGCAAGACAGAGCGUGCUCUUAAAGUUGCUGAGGAAGAGCUGAUGAAGGCAAAGUUUGAAGCUACUUCAAAAACUAAGGAACUAAUGGAGGUUCAUGGUGCAUGGCUUCCGCCUUGGCUAGCUGUAGAAUUAGUUCGAAUUCAGACACAUUGGAAUGAGCAUGGAAGGCCAGCCAUGGAAUUGGUGAUCCAAAAGGCCCUGGAUAAAAAAGCCCACGCCGAAAAGUGGGCCAAACCACAUCUGGAUACAGUUAAAACUAAAUGGGUCCCAGCUGUGAAGGAACAAUGGUUGCUGAUAGUAACUCAUGUUGAACCACAUGUACAAUCAUUGACUACAAAAACAAUUGAAGCUUAUGAAGCCUCAAAGACUGCAAUAACUCCUCAUGUCAGCAGAGUACAAGAAGUCGUUGAUCCCUACUUUCAGGAAGCUAAGAAGUUUAGUAAGCCAUAUAUUGAUCAGGUCGCCACUGUUACAAAACCCCAUGUGGAUAAAGUUAGAGUGGCUUUGAAGCCCUAUAUGAAGCAGGCAGUUCAUGCUUAUGGAAAAUUUUUAGAGUCUGCAUCCACGUACCACCAUCAGGUGCAAGGCACUGUGCAAGAAACUCUGAACAAGCAUGAGCUAACAAGACCUCUUGCAACUAAGGAGUUGAUCUGGUUCAUGGCCUCUGCUCUGUUGGCCUUACCUAUCAUCCUGUUGUCCAGAAUUUGUUCGGCAAUUUUCUGCAAAAAGGCGAAGAAACCAAUUCGACAUGCCAACACCAACCAUGCUCGUCGUAAGGCUAAAAGGGGGCAUCCUGACAAGUAGAGCAUGACGAGGUUGAUUAUUGACAUUUUCUUUAGUGAACAUGCCCAGGCCCUAGGAUGCAUGCUUCCACACCUCGGGGUUUUCUGGGUUGCCACGUUCUACUACUAUGGAGCACUAUCCUUUGCACAAGUUCCUCGGGUCUAAAAAGUUAAAUCCUAUUCAAGAAACCUGAUGGUGUUAUUGGACCUCCUGCAUACUUCUUUUCCAGUCAUUGUAAAAAAUGUUUUUUUAGAACCUUUUUUCACACCACAGAAAUGAGACAUCUUGAGAAUUUCAGAUGUAGUAUGGGUCAAGGCUGUUAAUGUUGUUAGAUUUGUAAUUUAUUGUUCUUUUUUGUUCAUUAUUUGUAGUUGAGAGUUCCUCGAAUAUUUGUUCGUUAAAAUUGCAUUGCUGUGCAUCUUUUGCUA